UACGUAGGGUGCAAGCGUUGUCCGGAAUUACUGGGCGUAAAGCGUGCGCAGGCGGUUUGCUAAGACCGAUGUGAAAUCCCCGGGCUCAACCUGGGAACUGCAUUUGUGACUGUAGAGCUGGAGUACGGCAGAGGGGGAUGGAAUUCCGCGUGUAGCAGUGAAAUGCGUAGAUAUGCGGAGGAACACCGAUGGCGAAGGCAAUCCCCUGGGCCUGUACUGACGCUCAUGCACGAAAGCGUGGGGAGCAAACAGG
rnacentral:rRNA from 1 species